CUCCGCUCCCCCCAGCCAGGAGCCCAGGCCCAGGUGCGGGUCUCCUUCAGGCGGCCCCUCCCGUGGCGGGGCUGGAGGGCGAGGCUGGGGUGGGAGGCGGGAGCGAGGCUACCCGGUGGUCUUCGGGGGGCUGGGCCCAGCCGUGGGGCUCACCCACACCCUAUGGAGGACUCAGUCCUGGAUCGUGGCUAAAGCCCUUCCCUGUGGACUGUGGAAGGCGAUUUCUAGAGCCACUCCUCAAAGGGGAAGCGCUGGGUUGCCCAACUCCCAUGCUAGGGCCCCUCCAAGCCUCAGUAUUAAGGAGCUUCAAAGUCCCCUUCCUGAUUUUGUUUGUUUUUGUUUUUGAGACGGAGUCUUGCUCUGUCGCCCAGGCUGGAGUGCAGUGGGGGAUCUCGGCUCACUGCAACCUCUGCCUCCCGGGUUCAAGCGAUUCUCCUGCCUCAGCCUCGCGAGUAGCUGGGACUACAGGCGCCCGCCACCACGCCCGGCUAAUUUUUUGUAUUUUUAGUAGAGACGGGGUUUCACCACGUUGGCUAGGCUGGGCUAGAACUCCUGACUUCAAGUUAUCUGCCCGCCUGGGCUUCCCAAACUGCUGGAAUUACAGGCGUGAGCCACAGCGCUCGCCCCCCGUACUGAUUUGAGGGUCUCCAGAGCACAAAGGCUGCACCGGAUGAUGAAGAAGGAGCUGAAAGAGCCACAGACUCCGUAGAUCCGGUACAGUCCACACACAGGAAAUUCAGGUCUGGAGGCUGGGAAGCCCAAGAGCAAGGUGUCAGCAGAUGCAGUUCUGGGUCUUAUGCUGAUGCUCAGGCUGGAAUGCAGUGGUGCGAUCACAGCUCAUGGUCACCUCAAACUCCUGGGCUCGAGCAAUCCUCUUACCUCAACCUUCAAGUAGUUGAAGCUACAGUGGAAAGAAGUUAGACGGGUACAAGAGUGAAACUAAUGAAACUGGUUAGGAGGUCAUUCCAAUAGCCCAGGAAAGAUGGUGACUUGGAUUAGGGCAAGGAAAAAUGGAUGUAUGUCAAGAUGUAUUCAGGAGAUAGAAAUGGCUGGAUUGUCUGAGACUGGAUAUGGAAGACAGUGCAAAAGGAAUCAAAGAUAACUUUCAUGUUCCUGUCUUGAGCAACUGACAGAUUCUGGUACUAUUUACAACUAUUUAGUAUCUUCUGUAUUGUUUAUUUGUUAGUUUGUUCCAAUGCUUGGCCACAUUUCACAAGAUGUUUCUUGCUAUUACUGGCUCUCUAUCACCUUUCACAAUUUUACAGUUCUGUUUAUAUUCUAAUUAUAUGGGCCUUCCUAUGAUCUCCUUACAAUGAAUAAUACAGUAUUUUAGAUAGCUUAUCUCCUACUUUUCCACUUUCUCUACAUUGCAUUUACCCCAAGGUGUCUCUGCUUAAUGGAAAUAUUUUAUACUAAUUGAGAUUAAAAAUUAAAAGGCA
rnacentral:lncRNA from 1 species